UUUCGAUUAGCUUUCUCUCAACAAUUCGAUGUCCAGACAAAACCAGAGUUCUUAGAGAGUUGAUUCAGCUUCUUCUUGCUAACGCUCUAUACCAGUUACAGAUUCCUCAUCUUAAAUCAUCACCCACUAUCUAUCUUGAAUGUGAUCUUCUUAAUGCAAGGCGGUGGAACUUCCAUUAUAAAAGACGAUCUUCCUUUCCGAUCUGGAGACCUGACGUUGCUCCUCCACCGCCAAGUCCCGUUGCUCCGCCAGGAACGUCGGACGCGGCGGCGAACUCAUGGGAGUCGAUAUGAUGCUACUUAAUUCACAGUCAACGCAAAUACAAGCAUCUAUCAACGUUUACCGGUUGGAACACCUUCGUUUAUUAGCUAAGCUUAUUUUAUGUUACACGAAUCGUCUAUGUUGAUGCCCCUGUAACCCUGUUGCAAUUAGUUCUAUAGACCAAGUUGAGAUUGCUGGACGGUUGAACGAAACCGACAAAGAGCUUCCAGUGGUUCCGCAACCUUGAAACAAUCUGAUUUGGCCAACACAAAAACUUACUUGCCAGGGUUUAAACUAACGUAAUCGAUGGAUGCCUAGAGCCAUCCUUGAGCUUGCUAUAUCUCAGCCAGCUCUCGACAUGCCUCAACUGUUAUGGAAGGCAUACAUAGAUUUUGAAAUAGCUGAAUGAGAAUUUGAGAGGACACAGGUUUUAUAUGAGCGACUCUUGGACCGCACAAAUCAUUACAAGGUGUGGGUUAGUUUUACAAACUUUGAAGCUUCUGCUGCAGAACAAGAAAAAGACAAUGAAGAGGAAGAACAAGAAGAAACAGAUGCUAUUGAAUGCAAGAAAGAGUGCAUCAGACGUGCCAGCGAGAUUUUUGAGAGAACCCACAGCCACUACAAAGAUUCUGCACCAGAGUUGAAAGAAGAAAGAACUACAUGGAGGAUUGGCUUAACAUGGAGACAAACUUUGGUAAUCUCGGGGAUGUGAGUGUGGUACAACCUAAGCUCCCGAAGAAGCUCAAGAAGAGAAAACUAUACGUGUUACCGUUCUCGAUAUGACCAUAGCAUUCACUCAAAACAACAGCAGCCUCUGAAUGUGUACUCAGUCCUCACUACAGCCCUCCUUUCUACAGACUUCCGGACUAUAGCCUGAGCGUCUUAGAGAGCAUGCCAAAGAAGGAACAAAUGCAAUUUCUUAUGAACCUGAUGUGGAGAAGACCCUAAAGAGAAACACCUCUUCGAACCCCUUUCGAUAUACCAAAAACCGCACAGAAAUCACUCACUCACCCAUCUGCUUCAUGGUGAUUCUCGCAAAGAUGAAAAAUGAUUAGCACAAGACGUUUGUUGGUUGUCUCCUUCACUAUUUGGUAAAGCGAGAGGAAACUGUGCGACGAAUAUACUAUGGUUAAAUUAUAUGAUGGGGCUGAUUAUCUGAAUUGGUUGAGCGGGAGAUCUUUUUAUUUGUCAACUACCAGGAGAUUUACUUAUAUAAUUUGCACUUUGAUGCUUGAUUUA